AUUGAACGCUGGCGGCAUGCUUUACACAUGCAAGUCGAACGGUAACAGGCCGCAAGGUGCUGACGAGUGGCGAACGGGUGAGUAAUGCAUCGGAACGUGCCCAGUCGUGGGGGAUAACGCAGCGAAAGCUGUGCUAAUACCGCAUACGAUCUAUGGAUGAAAGCGGGGGACCGUAAGGCCUCGCGCGAUUGGAGCGGCCGAUGUCAGAUUAGGUAGUUGGUGGGGUAAAGGCCCACCAAGCCAACGAUCUGUAGCUGGUCUGAGAGGACGACCAGCCACACUGGGACUGAGACACGGCCCAGACUCCUACGGGAGGCAGCAGUGGGGAAUUUUGGACAAUGGGCGCAAGCCUGAUCCAGCAAUGCCGCGUGCAGGAAGAAGGCCUUCGGGUUGUAAACUGCUUUUGUACGGAACGAAAAGGUCUGGGUUAAUACCCUGGGCCGAUGACGGUACCGUAAGGAUAAGCACCGGCUAACUACGUGCCAGCCGCCGCAGUAA
rnacentral:rRNA from 1 species